UGCCAAAUGAAUAGAGGGUGCUGAAGCCUCUGGAGCUUUCGGAGGGAUUAGCCAUGAUUCAGGCUUGUGCUAAUAGUCCUUAGCUACUCCUCACAUGCUCACCGCCGUCGCCUGCGUUUGUGUCAGUAACUAAGGCCUACAGCCACCACUCAGCCCUAAGUGCACACAGGAGAACUGUGGAGUCGGAGGAAGAGAAUGCAGACUUUGUUCCGAUGCACCUCUCCUCGAAGCAGAACUUUCAGCUUGCUGUGCCUACCUCCGCUUCCUGUCUGCAGUGGCUUCACCAUCUCUGCAGAAGAGCAGGGAGAAGCCUUGUAUGGGGAGCUCUGCUACACUCCGCACCUUUCCCCUCUGCCAGCACAGACAGUUCAUCUUUGCUGAGUACUGACUUACGACUUAAACAGGUCAAGCCAGAGUUACCUGGAGCUUCCCAAUAUGCCUCUGCCUUGCCCUUCUGCAUCUUAGGAUUGCCUCAUCCUCUAAGAAAACAGGCCAGGGAACUCAGAAUUUCCAUGAUUGACAUCAACAAUAAAUAUAUACUAAAUGAUUCUGACCGAGAAUGUUCCAGAGGGAGAGAAACCAGCAUCCCUUCUCAAUAGCACCAAGACCCAGUCUGUGUAUCAUUGCAUGAGUAGACACCAAGCAUUUCUGCAUGCCUGUCUGUGUGCUGCAGUGGACAGGCAUGAACAAGUCUGUCAGGGUCUCCAUCAGUCAUCAUAAUGCUUAUAAUCUAUUGAGGGAAACUUAGGAUGAAGCAGUGAGGAGAAUACAGAACAGCGAGGAGGAGGCAGUGAGGAGGUGGAGGUGGCCUGACAGCCCCUGAGAGAUGACAUGAGCUGCAGGGAGUACUUUCUGUCUAGACAAAAAGUCAGCCAUCCACACUGCCAUCUGCAACCACUGAGAACAAGCUAGAGUGGAAAUGGGAGCCCUCAGGUGCCUUGCUUGUGCCAAAAAGUACCAGAUGAAAGUGGAGUGGGAUGGCAUUUAUGAAUGAAGACUUCAUUAUCCAAGAGGACUGUUGGUUUCCAGUUUAACCAGAUGAAUGAUUUCACACAGCAUAAAAACAGAGGCUAACCAGAAGACUGGAAAGACGGCCAGAAAAUGAAGUAAUCAGAAUUUUGAAGAAUUAGGGAAACAUUACAUGACAAAGAUGGACUUCAGCUAGGCUUUACUGUGAGGUUCCAGGACCUUGUUACAGUUCAGUCAAAUUUGUAUUUGUAAUCCCAGGGGAAAGUUAUUGGAGUUCUAGUGAGUUAAUUCCAAUCUACCACUUCCAGUGC